rnacentral:rRNA from 1 species
GAUGAACGCUGGCGGCGUGCCUAAUACAUGCAAGUCGAGCGAACAGACGAGGAGCUUGCUCCUCUGACGUUAGCGGCGGACGGGUGAGUAACACGUGGAUAACCUACCUAUAAGACUGGGAUAACUUCGGGAAACCGGAGCUAAUACCGGAUAAUAUAUUGAACCGCAUGGUUCAAUAGUGAAAGACGGUUUUGCUGUCACUUAUAGAUGGAUCCGCGCCGCAUUAGCUAGUUGGUAAGGUAACGGCUUACCAAGGCAACGAUGCGUAGCCGACCUGAGAGGGUGAUCGGCCACACUGGAACUGAGACACGGUCCAGACUCCUACGGGAGGCAGCAGUAGGGAAUCUUCCGCAAUGGGCGAAAGCUUGACGGAGCAACGCCGCGUGAGUGAUGAAGGUCUUCGGAUCGUAAAACUCUGUUAUUAGGGAAGAACAAAUGUGUAAGUAACUAUGCACGUCUUGACGGUACCUAAUCAGAAAGCCACGGCUAACUACGUA